CAAAAAAUAAACCCUAGGUUUCCGUGUCCAACGUUUGACUGUUUGUCUUAUAUAAUUUUUUUUAUAAUUAAUAUUUUCAUUGUUGUUAGAUGAUAAAACAUGAUUAAUACUUUAUGCGUGUCUUAUCUUUUUAAUUUUUUUUUAAAUAAGACAGAGGGUCAAACGUCGGACACGGAAACCCAGAGUUUGUCCUUUU
rfam:Oryza nivara chromosome 1, whole genome shotgun sequence.